GACACUGUAUAACUACAGAGAGCGUCCCUGAAAGAGGAAAGUUUUAGAAAAAGAAAGAAGUUAAGAAAGAAAGAAAGAAAACUAUCGUGGCGUGUGACGUCAGACGCCGAAAAGGUGGACGCGUGCCGCAGCUUGUGUUUGAAAACGGAAAGAAGAUUUAAGAUGGCUGGUUCGACCUGGUCCAGAUUGAUGACUCGUCCAGAACGGAACAAACUUGUGCUUCCUGCUCGCGGAGACCAGGUUGGACUCGUCCAUGCUUCAUGACUGACUGUUUAAAAAAAUAAGGUUGAGCUUCUUGAAGAUCUUCCAACAGUAGGUUUCAAGCAAUUUAAUUCUGGGUGGCCGCCGUGUCCCCACUCUUUUGCUUGGCCGCCGUGCCCGUGUCUAUCCAGCUUUCCUACAAUGUACUGAAACCAUCUUUACGUCCAACAUGGCCACGUUCUUUCACCUCUCCUGCUUUCCAACACUCAGAUAGCUCAGGGUUGUACAUGGAGCGUUAGCUACAGAGACGGUGGUUUGUUAAUCUGGUCCUCUCUAGUUUAUAUUUUUGCCGGACUGCUGAGUGAUUUGUAAGAAUGAGGUGUUUUUAAGGCUCUUUAGCAGCUUGACUUUGAAUGAAUGCUGAUCCUGGUGUUGAAUGGGAUGUGUGUGAGAUUGACAAUAGGAUUCUGCUCAGCAGUUCCCAUUGAGAUAUGGUUUGCCAAAUUGUACUGCACUAACAUUUCCUUUUUAGGUCUACCAACGAGUGGUAAGUUCAAUUUUCUUUUUUGGGAGGCUACCUUCUCGGCCUCCUUUUUUUUAUUUUUGCAGAGUAGGGGAAUAAAAUCAAAAGUUGUGUGGUUUGUGUGAACUUGUGAAAGUCUUCAGCACUUGGUUGUUGGCAAGUGACGUGCCAGUGCAGUUGCCCACAGAUAACUACUGAGGACUACUGUCUCCUUCAUUCAAGCUCUACAUUACCUUUCUUUCCUCAAGAGGAUUCACCAAGAGAAAUUGUCGUAAAUCUCUCUGGGUGAAUCUACCGCGCAUUUUCUCGGCCGCCGUGCCGAUCUGUCCUGGCCGACUGUGGCAUUCCUCCGUUUAAAGUAGGAGCGCAGGGUUUUUUUAUUUUCCUUGAUGUUUGCUCAUGACCUGAUGUUGGAGGACCAGAUGUUAGAUCAGGUUUAAAUGGAUUUUGUGCAGUUGAUGCAUGUAGAUGGAGGCUUUGUGUCACAAGGCUUAGGUCUUUCUGUGAAAUAUGUCAUAACUGUGCAACUACACACUCCCUUUCCCCACGUGGCCAUUUUUUAACAGUUAGCCCUAAACGCGUGUCCAUCCUUACAUUUUAACCUAAAAAUAGAUUUUAGUGAUCUACACACUUUUGUUUUGGCCGCCGUGCCAUUGCCUUUUGUAAAACUAUACGUCCCAUAAUGCAAGUCGGUAAUGACGGCCGCCGUGCCCUCAUGGCCUAUUUGUAUUAUGUUUCUCCAUC